AGUUCAGACGUGUCCUGCUUCCGAUUCUCUGAAAAGGCUCUAAAGAAACACAAGGAAAGAAUGGGGCACAGGUGUAUCAAAAUCUUAAAGAGCAGUCGAGCUGAAGUUAGAACUCACUAUGAUCCACCACAAAGGCUUGUGGCCAUGCCGCAGCCAGGUCCCUACCACAGACCUGGAGCUGGCAGAGGCUAUCACGGCAUUGGCAGGGGAGCUGGCUGUAAACAGAUGAGGUGAGGGGCUUACGGUGGACGCUGCGGAG